CCCUUAGAUGUUCUGGGCCGCACGCGCGCUACACUGACGAAGUCAGCGAGCAUGUCCUACGCCGACAGGUGCGGGGAAUCUUGUCAAACUUCGUCGUGAUGGGGAUUGAUUAUUGAAAUUCUUGAUCAUCAACGAGGAAUUCCUAGUAAGCGCAAGUCAGCAGCUUGCGUUGAUUACGUCCCUGCCCUUUGUACACACCGCCCGUCGCUACUACCGAUUGAAUGGUUUAGUGAGAUCUUCGGAUUGGCGCCACUGCGGCUCAGCAAUGGGCUCGGUGGAUGCCGAAAAGUUGAUCCAACUUGAUCAUUUAGAGGAAGUAAAAGUCGUAACA
rnacentral:rRNA from 1 species